AAUGAACGCUGGCGGCAGGCCUAACACAUGCAAGUCGAGCGGAUGAAGGGAGCUUGCUCCUGGAUUCAGCGGCGGACGGGUGAGUAAUGCCUAGGAAUCUGCCUGGUAGUGGGGGAUAACGUCCGGAAACGGGCGCUAAUACCGCAUACGUCCUGAGGGAGAAAGUGGGGGAUCUUCGGACCUCACGCUAUCAGAUGAGCCUAGGUCGGAUUAGCUAGUUGGUGGGGUAAAGGCCUACCAAGGCGGCGAUCCGUAACUGGUCUGAGAGGGUGAUCAGUCACACUGGAACUGAGACACGGUCCAGACUCCUACGGGAGGCAGCAGUGGGGUAUAUUGGACAGUGGGCGAAAGCCUGAUCCAGCCAUGCCGCGUGUGUGAAGAAGGUCUUCGGAUUGUAAAGCACUUUAAGUUGGGAGGAAGGGCAGUAAGUUAAUACCUUGCUGUUUUGACGUUACCAACAGAAUAAGCACCGGCUAACUUCGUG
rnacentral:rRNA from 1 species